UGCCUAGAGAGAUAUCAGCUAUGCCUCACUGAUAAUGCCUAACAAGGCUGAAACGAUCGUCUGGGGUUGCUGUAUCUCUCGUGCAGAGAGAGCCGGCCCGUAUUUUGGAUCUGUUCUGCCCUUUUGGGUGGAACCAGUCUGAGAUGCAUGGUCUGGUUCUCUUUGUAAUGGCACAAGAUGAGCUAAAACCAGCUUGAGAACUGAGCGGGGACCCACCGAAGGGCAGGCUAAUUGAGCUGUUGUCCGUCCUCAGCACUCUCUUGUGACUUGUUUUUUUUUCUCUCACUAAUAUUUGUAUUCAGCGAAGUCUCCCGAAUAAAACAGUACCCCCAUGUACAGGUUUUAGGAUGUCUUGGAAAGUUACAAAGUUAAAUAUAGUGCUAGCAAAUUAAAUUUUCUGGACUUUCUGCCUGGGUUGUCAAGCAGGUCCCUCAAAUUUGAAUCAAUAAAAUUACUUAAUUAUGUAAAAUAUUACAUAAAUAUAAACAAUAAUCAAG